rnacentral:rRNA from 1 species
UAUUGCACAAUGGGGGGAACCCUGAUGCAGCAAUGCCGCGUGGGUGAAGAAGCACUCCGGUGCGUAAAGCCCUGUCGGCAGGGAAGAAAAUGACGGUACCUGACUAAGAAGCACCGGCGGACUACGUGCCAGCAGCCGCGGUAAUACGUAGGGGGCAAGCGUUAUCCGGAUUUACUGGGUGUAAAGGGAGCGUAGACGGCGAUGCAAGUCUGAAGUGAAAGGCGGGGGCCCAACCCCCGGACUGCUUUGGAAACUGUAUGGCUGGAGUGCAGGAGAGGUAAGUGGAAUUCCUAGUGUAGCGGUGAAAUGCGUAGAUAUUAGGAGGAACACCAGUGGCGAAGGCGGCUUACUGGACUGUAACUGACGUUGAGGCUCGAAAGCGUGGGGAGCA